CCUACGGGAGGCAGCAGUGAGGAAUAUUGGUCAAUGGACGAGAGUCUGAACCAGCCAAGUAGCGUGAAGGAUGACUGCCCUAUGGGUUGUAAACUUCUUUUAUAUGGGAAUAAAAUGUUCCACGUGUGCGUUUUUGUAUGUACCAUAUGAAUAAGGAUCGGCUAACUCCGUGCCAGCAGCCGCGGUAAUACGGAGGAUCCGAGCGUUAUCUGGAUUUAUUGGGUUUAAAGGGAGCGUAGGUGGAUUGUUAAGUCAGUUGUGAAAGUUUGCGGCUCAACCGUAAAAUUGCAAUUGAUACUGGCAGUCUUGAGUACAGUAGAGGUAGGCGGAAUUCGUGGUGUAGCGGUGAAAUGCUUAGAUAUCACGAAGAACUCCGAUUGCGAAGGCAGCUCACUGGACUGUAACUGACACUGAGGUUCGAAAGUGUGGGUAUCAAACAGGAUUAGAUACCCCUGUAGUC
rnacentral:rRNA from 1 species